rnacentral:sRNA from 1 species
UACACAUAUAGAGAGAUUGAGUGAAAAUAUUUUUUUUUAAAUGGUUGUGGUGAACAAAACGAAUCUCUUAUUGCUUCUUCUCUCUCUAUGUCUCACCCUCGACCUCUCCUCCGCACAACUCCGCCGUAACUUCUACGCCGGAAGUUGUCCUAACGUCGAACAAAUCGUUAGAAACGCCGUACAGAAAAAAGUCCAACAAACUUUCACCACCAUUCCCGCCACUCUACGCCUCUAUUUCCAUGAUUGUUUCGUCAAUGUAAAACAUAUUUUUUAUUGAUAUUAUUUUCUUGCGUAAAAUUAUCCAUUAUUUGGUCUAAAUAAUUGAUUAAUAUUCAUAGGGGUGUGAUGCAUCAGUGAUGAUAGCGUCAACAAAUAAUAAUAAGGCGGAGAAGGAUCAUGAGGAAAAUUUAUCGUUGGCCGGAGAUGGAUUCGACACCGUCAUUAAAGCUAAAGAAGCUCUCGAUGCCGUCCCAAAUUGUCGUAACAAAGUUUCAUGCGCUGAUA